UAACAAUGAAGAGUUUGAUCCUGGCUCAGGAUGAACGCUAGCGGCAGGCCUAACACAUGCAAGUCGAGGGGUAACAGAAAGUGCUUGCACUUUGCUGACGACCGGCGAACGGGUGAGUACCGCGUAUACAAUCUGCCUCAUACUAGGGAAUAGCCCGAAGAAAUUUGGAUUAAUGCCCUAUAGUAUCUUUUUAAGGCAUCUUAUUAAGAUUAAAGAUUACGGUAUGAGAUGAGUAUGCGUUCUAUUAGCUAGUAGGUGUGGUAACGGCACACCUAGGCUACGAUAGAUAGGGGCCCUGAGAGGGGGA
rnacentral:rRNA from 1 species